AGUUACAUCGAGCAAUUCAACAGAUUGUUAGACAGAAAGGCAUUCUCUCUCAUAAAAUAUUUAGAAAGUGAAACAAAAGAAAAGUUGAAGAUCAAGACAAUUAAAAAAGACCUGGAUCUGGCAUUGGAAGGCAAUU